rnacentral:piRNA from 1 species
UUUUUCUUCGUUCAACCAUUU